rnacentral:rRNA from 1 species
UGGGGAAUAUUGGACAAUGGGCGGAAGCCUGAUCCAGCAACGCCGCGUGAGGGAUGACGGCCUUCGGGUUGUAAACCUCUUUCAGCACAGACGAAGCGCAAGUGACGGUAUGUGCAGAAGAAGGACCGGCCAACUACGUGCCAAGCAGCCGCGGUAAUACGUAGGGUCCGAGCGUUGUCCGGAAUUAUUGGGCGUAAAGGGCUCGUAGGCGGUUUGUCGCGUCGGGAGUGAAAACACCGGGCUUAACUCGGUGCUUGCUUUCGAUACGGGCAGACUAGGGGCAUUCAGGGGAGAACGGAAUUCCUGGUGUAGCGGUGAAAUGCGCAGAUAUCAGGAGGAACACCGGUGGCGAAGGCGGUUCUCUGGGAAUGUCCUGACGCUGAGGAGCGAAAGUGUGGGGAGCGAACAGGAUUAGAUACCCUGGUAGUCCACACCGUAAACGUUGGGCGCUAGUGUGGGAUCCAUUCCACGGGGUUCCGAGCCGCAGCUAACGCAUUAAGCGCCCCGCCUGGGGAGUACGGCC